rnacentral:tRNA from 1 species
GUUUCCAUAGUGUAGUGGUUAUCACGUUUGCCUUACAUGCGAAAGGUCCCCAUUUCGAAACUGGGUGGAAACA